UUCUUUCAUUUUAUUUUUGCAUUUUUUAUGUGAUUAUGUGUUUUAUGUGUGAGUUUGGUCCAUUUGUUUUAGUUAUUUAUUGAUUAGUUUAAUUUGUGGUUAUGUAGCUUACUUUGUUUACUGUUAGUUUAGUUGUAUGAUCUGCUAAAGAGUAAUUAGUGUGGUGAUCUUUUGGGUGGUUAGGAGAGACUUUAUGUUUUUCUGUGUUUUCUAGUUAGGUUAGUAGUUUAAAUAUUUAGCUUAACACAGCAGCAUUUCAAUAACUUAGUCAUGAUCUAUGUGAUUAGGUAGUAAUGUCAUGAUUGUUUAGAAUAGUGGGCUUGUUUAAGUAAUUAUUGGAUAUGUAUUAUGCUUAACCAAAUAUAUGAUUGCAUGUUUGGAUUAGUUGGGGGUUGCUUCAUAUGCUUAAUUUCAAGAAAAAACUGUAUGGUUAAGCCCUGUGUUGAGCAUCAUUUAAAUCUUUAUGAGCUGUUUGAAUUGAUAGGUAUCUGGAUUCUAUGUAGAGGGUAGAAAAAGGAUCAAACAGUCUGGUACCAUGAAGAUAUGUGUUUGUUUACUUCCAAAUGCUUAUGUAUGUGUGAAUAGUAAUGAAUAUAAGCUAAGAUAGGUUCUAGAAAAUAUGAUUUAAGUUAUAAUAUUCGUAGGAUCUUAUUCAUUUGGCCCGUGUAUGGAUUAUAUCUUUAGCUAAGUUGACUGACAUAUGUAAUUCUCAUGUGAAACUUUCCAAAUUCGUAAAAUACAUGUCAGAAUAUGAUGAGUCAGAUUUAGAACACAUUUAUAGAAAUACCCUUAUGUCCCUUUGGGCCAAACCUGACUUGGGAAGAUGUUUAGAGUAGCUAAGGUAUGGAGUGAUUUCCUAGGGCCAUAAGACUAAGAAGAGGCUUUGGGUAAAACAUAAUCAGCUUUAUCUUAGUUAUUCUACCUGUCGGGGUUCGUCCUUGCUGUCUCAUAAGGCCAUGGGACCCUCUACGAGUGUGUUUAUGUGUUGAAUUGAGAACCUACUAAAUAUCCCAUGUAAUUUGACUAUGUACUCUCUGAGUAUGAAACACUAAGUUGGCUAACCUCCUUGUUAAAUUGGACAUCUAAAUAGUAUAGAAAUAAGAUUCAAAACAUAGAAGUAGAAAAUGCAUGACCUAAUUUUUAGUUGCUGCUUGUGUUAAUUUGUAGAACUUUAAGAACCGAAAUUUGUAAAGAGUAAGGAGGUUUGCCCUGUUUGGUUAUUGUUUUGAAGCAUGAGUUGUGCCAGAAGCUUCAGGGUGUCUGAGUAUGCUUAUAUAGGUCUGGAUUUAAACUUGUUCUUGGGAUUAAACAAGAUUCAUUAACUUGUCUCAGCCUUAAUCCAUAGUUAGUAAAACGUAGCAUGAAUUAUGACCAAUUUGCUUGAGUCUGGAAUCUAUUAAUUUUUAACUAGUUCAGUGUACAAUUUGGUGUCAAUAUGAUAGAAAGAGAUCUGUUAGUUCAUGUUAAAAUAAACAAGCAUGCUUAAUCACAUAUUGCAUAUGCAUACCUUUUGUCGUUGUCAAGAAAAAAGCUGUGAAAAUUAUGCAUGUGUUUCAUCUCAUCCCUUACAUCAUUUGUAUACUGGAUUGAUGUGUCCCCUAUCUUUUGUCUAUGUUUUGUGUAUUCCCUUCCUUCCUUUGCAUAAAGAAUUUGCUGCCAUAGUCUAAUGAUACCCUUGAAUCUUAAUAUGUGACAUCUGGAUAUUGUGAGAUAUUGAAAUUGGUGCAUUUUUUGAGUAGUGAACAUGUUUGGAUAAGUAAGAUCAUAUCAUCUCAUUUCCAUUGUUUAUGUUAUGGCCUCAUUUCCUUUAGGUAAGAGUAAAUAUGCAUAUUAAUAUACCCUGAAUAUACUUUCAGAUAAACAGAGGUAUACACAUCCAAUAUACCUUGAGUAUAUAGAAUGUAUAUUUAUUGUAUAUCCUAGUAUAUUUUGAGUAAGUGUGAUUAUUUUACGAGUAUGAUAAGUAUGGUUGUUCAAAUAUUUCUUCUUCUUCCUUUCUUAAGUUGAUAUCCCAUGAUAUUACUAAUAUAUAGAAAUGGGAGUUGGGGUGGGACUAACACUGCACUAAUUUAUGAUACCAAAAGUAAUAUGAAUGGUACAUUAUGUUUGCCCAUCUGUUUAGUACUGUACAAUGUUUGACCUAUUUCUGUUAUAACACGUGUAUGCUCUUUAUUUUUAAGCAGAACACGUGCAAUCCUCUUCUCUGCCUCUUCAUUCCCUCUUUCUUUUUCCUCUUUUAAUUCCUUUCAGUUUCCACUUUUUAACUACUCCCUCCGUUCACUUUUACUUGUACACUAUUCCUUUUAUAGAUUUUCAUUUUUACUUAUCAAUUUUCACAUAUCAAGGUAAGACAAAAAAAAUUCCUGUUUUACCCUUAGCAUUUAUUACUCAUUUCAAAUCAUUUUUCCAACUCCAAUACAAUUAUACACCAUUUAAUAGGGGUAUUGUGGUAAAAUACCUAUCUUAAUCAUUGUUUCUUAAACAACGUGAAAAGUCAAAACUUGACAAGUAAAAGUGAACGGAGGGAGUACAAAAUUACCAAUUAACUAUGAUAGGGUAAGUUCAGAGUUUUCCGAUGUACAAUCUCGAUUGUUGAAAAAUAAAUUACACUCCUUAACUAUGCUCCAUCUUUUCUCAUUAAAUGCAAAAGUUGUGUAUGGACUCUGAUGCCUUAUACUUGAAGAUUCCGCGAUUCUGUUUUUAACUUGGAGAUGUAUGUUAGUUCCUCUGAUCGAGGCAGAUCAUUUCGAUUGCGUGUGCUCAUGGGUAAUUUUAAAAUUCAUGAAAUUCAAUUGCAUUUAGUUCUAAGACUUGGCAAGGUGAGGAAUUGAAAUUUUACUUCUAUAUAAGAUGUGAAAUUACCUCUCUUUGAGGGUAAAGUAUUUAAUUGUUGUGUAGGAAAGUGAGUUUUUAAGCAUUUUCCUUUGGAAGGUUCUAAAAAUUUAUAAGCUGAAAUAUUAGGAGAGGAACUGCCGAGCCAUUUGAUGUUUUUGUGUUAUAGUUUGAGCACCCCAGUAUCGAUAUUAUGUCAUUUUUUGCAUUGAAUAGAGUAUGCUUUAGUUGGCUUUAAAGAUGGUUAUGCAUUUUGCUACUUAAAGUGCCCAAUAGUAAUUACAUGUUGAGCUAAUUUUAUCGCAUCAUAGGUGGUUCAUUUUGUCUCUUCCUCCAAGAAAUGUAUUUAUAUUCAUGAAUGUCCAGUGUAUUUUUGACAAAUUUUAUUUAUAAAUAUAUCUAUAAAAAAGUUAUUUGUAAACAUUUACACACAACUAUUCAAUACAUCUUUUUCCUUUUGAUAUGGGAGGACUUAGCAAUACUUACUAGACACCUGCAUGCAGUGGGUUUUGGUUCAUUAUGUCUUCUAAUUCUAAAUAUCAAUUUUGAAGUUGGUAUACAUUACUCCUUCUAUACCAAUAUACUCCUAAUUUAACUGGAAUUAGGAGUUGAGGGUGGAGAUGAAAAAGGUACCCGGGCUCAAGGUUUUUUAACUAAAAAUGACAUGUUCAUAGUUUAAAAGACCAUAGCAGCAAAUCAGUGAUACUUGACACUUUAUUUCUCAAAUAGUUUAAUAUUCAAAAGAAGAUACCGUAGGUUAAAGAUUUCCAAGAAAAAAUUUGAUUGUGUUUUGAAAAGUUGAAGGACAAUCCAUAUUAUUCUUUGGAGUCUAAUUGUGAACAUUAUUUUUGAUCAUAUCAUCGAAGGAGUGAUAAAAUGAUGAUUUGUGUCCUAAAGUAGAAUACCGUUUCUGAAAAAUGAAUCUCUCUUUGACUAUUUAUGGUGUCAAAACCUUUCGUUCUUGAUUGUGCUUGCUAUCUCUAGAAGAAUAUGUGACUGUACAGAGGACAAUGAAGAAGUGAUAAGUAGAAUGUGGAAGUGCGUAAGCGGUGCAAGGAAGUAAGAUGUGGAGGUGUGUAAGUAAUGCAGUUAUGAUAUUUUAUUAUAUCUGAAAUAUGUUUAAUGCAUUUCUUCUGAUUCAGGUGUAGUUAGAAGUUUGGGGGGAAGAGCUCUUUGUGUAGUUACAGACUUAAAGCAGAUGAACAACAACAAGAAGAGGGGUGAUGAACGACGAGGGUUAUGACACCAAAUUGGUAAAUCACUUAAAGUGGUUGGCACACGCUGUGAAUGGCUAACUUACUUUCAAACAUGACAGCUUAAUUAUAACAGUGCAAGUUAGCAGUGAUCUUUAGAAAAUGAUCAAGCAGGUCUUCUGGUGAAGGUUCUACUUCUUUGACUAACUGCUUUUUUGAUUUGGUUCAUUGUGCCCCUGUUUUGAUCAUCUAUUGAUAGGUAACCCUAUAGUGGAGAAAUCCAACCUUUUGAUUUAAUUCUUUAUAUUUUGCUUUAAUCGUCUACCGAUAAUGACUGAUGCAGAAUACAAAGGCAUUUUGUUAGUAAGAAGGAUUGUUAUGCUGAUUUGGAAGUUUUUGAUCGCCUCAAUGUUCUAGAUUUAUAGAUAAGGAGACGGCCUUACAAAAGACAAGAAGCAAAGAGAUACAGUAGCAAAUAUAUCCAAAAGAAGCAAAGAGAUACAGUAGCUAAUGUAUCCAAAACAUACUUUGGCAUCAAUAUAUCUGCAAAUAUGUAUUAGUUGUGUAGUAUCUUCAACAUCUCUGUAAAUAUGAUACCUGAUGCAACUUUUAUUGAAUAACUGUUACUCUAUA